rnacentral:rRNA from 1 species
AACGAACGCUGGCGGCAUGCCUAACACAUGCAAGUCGAACGAGACCUCCGGGUCUAGUGGCGCACGGGUGCGUAACGCGUGGGAACCUGCCCUUAGGUUCGGAAUAACUCCCCGAAAGGGGUGCUAAUACCGGAUAAUGUCUUCGGACCAAAGAUUUAUCGCCUUUGGAUGGGCCCGCGUUGGAUUAGCUAGUUGGUAGGGUAAAAGCCUACCAAGGCGACGAUCCAUAGCUGGUCUGAGAGGAUGAUCAGCCACACUGGGACUGGGACACGGCCCAGACUCCUACGGGAGGCAGCAGUGGGGAAUAUUGGAAUAUGGGCGAAAGCCUGAUCCAGCAAUGCCGCGUGAGUGAUGAAGGCCUUAGGGUUGUAAAGCUCUUUUACCCGGGAUGAUAAUGACAGUACCGGGAGAAUAAGCUCCGGCUAACUCCGUG